UUUCAAGCAUGGCUUCCUGAAAAUUUGGCCCCUUUCCCCUAUCCACUUGGUCAUAGCUGCGAAGAUGGAACCCACAAUCGUUGGUCAGGCUGAGUGGGCUGUCCGAUUGCAAAGUGUUGCAAAAAGUUGUAAAUGAGAAAUUAUUAACCAAAGUGUGCAGAUUAAUGAGAAACUAACCAUUUUUGUCCGUAUCCACACGUUUUUGAAAAAAUCAAAAAAGAAAAUUGAGUAAUUUCUAUAAUUGAAUACAACCCAAAUUUCAAAGCCAUAGCUUGAUAAACAAAAAAGUUGGGGCAAAUCGGCCAGAUCGGUUAUAUGGCAGAUAUAUAAAAAAAAUAUAGUG